AUGGAUGAAGAAUGUUUAGAAGUGUGAAGAAAGACUUGUUGAAAUCUGGUCCCAAAUAGGAUAAGAACACACAACCAAUGGUUUGAGGCAGUAAUUGGCUUGUAUAAAGUUAUUUUGGGUUAGAAUAUGUUAAAAUACAAUAAAUUUGAUUGAUUAAAAGUGCUAGAGAAGGAUGAAGAAUGUUUAGAAGUGUGAAGAAAGACUUGUUGAAGUUUGGUCCCAAAUGGGAUAUGAACCCACAACCAAUGGUU
rnacentral:lncRNA from 1 species